AAGUCGUACAGGUUUCGUAGGUGAACCUGCGGAAGGAUCAUUAUUGAAUAAGCUUGGUUGGGUUGUUGCUGGUCCUUUGGGGCAUUGUGCACGCCUAACCACCAAUCUUUUUCUUACCACCUGUGCACCUUUUGUAGACCCUGGAUAUCUCUCGAGGAAACUCGGUAUGAGGGUUGCUGUUCUUCAAAAGUCAGCUUUCCUUGCAUUUCCGGUCUAUGUCUUUUGUAUGCUCCGUCAGUAUGUCUAUGAACGUUUUAUAUUUAUCGGACUUGAUUGUCCAAUAAAAACUUUAAUACAACUUUCAACAACGGAUCUCUUGGCUCUCGCAUCGAUGAAGAACGCAGCGAAAUGCGAUAAGUAAUGUGAAUUGCAGAAUUCAGUGAAUCAUCGAAUCUUUGAACGCACCUUGCGCUCCUUGGUAUUCCGAGGAGCAUGCCUGUUUGAGUGUCAUAAAAUUCUCAACCUUUUUCAGCUUUCGUUGAAUUAGGCUUGGAUGUGGGAGUUUGCUGGUUUUAUUUAUUUGAAGUCGGCUCUCCUUAAAUUCAUUAGUAGGAUCUGUGUUGCCUUAGCUUUUGGUGUGAUAAAUUAUCUACGUCAUUAUUGCUAUGCAGCUUUUUACAAGGUUACUGCUUUCUAACCGUCUCUGAUGGGACAAUUUCUGACAAUAUGACCUCAAAUCAGUAGACUACCCGCUGAACUAA
rnacentral:rRNA from 1 species